AUGUAACGGUACUUUUCUAUGAACACAUAUAAUGAAUUUCUUUGUUUAAUUAAACACUUCAGCAAACCAAAUACCUGAAUUUAAAUUGCUGUUUAUUAUGGCUUCACCUCAGAUACAGGUGAAAUGGGAAUAGCUUAGCUUGUGAAAGGCUGCGUAGACAUACGUUUUCCACAGUGACUGGCAUUACUAAGCAACCUGAUGGAGAGCUGACAACACCUUGGCAAGCGGGGAACAAUAAGGUAAAUUACCAGCAAUAUGAAGAGAAAGCCGUUAAGAGCCGCAUCUUUACUUCGGCCCGCAACGUCUGCGGCCGUUAUUUGGGAAGAACAACCCCAAGAGCCCCCCCUUUCACCUUCAGCCUGCUUUCCCCCUGUCCGCGCGGGUGUACCUGUGUGCCUCCAUACGUGCACAAACGCACGCAGCCUUGUGCUUCCACACCUUUCGGGAUCCGAGGUUCCAUCACGCGUUUCCCACCGUGCCGAGAGGGAGCGGAACGGGAGGGGGAGCUCUCGCCGCGGCCGCCGCCGCCGCCGCGGUCCCGGGCUGCGCCGGGCAGGGACGAUCCCCCCCCUCCGCCCCCGCUCCACCGGGCCGGGGGCCGCGGGGCCUCGGCCCCUUCCUCCCGCCUCCCCGCCGCCCUAAGGGCCCCCGUUGUGCCAGUUUCGCCUCUGAAAACCGUCCCGGCGGCUGCGGAGAGCCCCCGGAGCGCCGUCUGUUCCGAUGCCGUUGCCCUGUAAAACCUUUCGCUUUGAAGCCGUCGUGCCGCUUGCGGAUCUACCGGCUGGGAAAUCAGGCCCGGUUGUUCGUCUCGUCCGCCCCGGUAGGCGAGAACGAGAAGAAAUAGCUCAGUAGUAACAUUAAAGAGAGUUACGCACUAAUAAAGGCAAACUGAAGAACGAACUUAGUUAUAGCCGAGCGUCGCUUUCCUGUUAUCUAAAAAGCAACUCCGAAAAUGGGAUUCUUGCUUUCCAAUGCACACUAUAUAAUAGACUGAUUUAAAAUCAGCUUGGAAAUUUCACAAGGAAUUUGGUCUAAUUAAACUCAGGAGCAGAAUCGUCACUGAUUUCCACAGGAUCAGGAUUUCAUCUUUGGCUGGUAACUGCCGUCUGAUACCACGUACCCCUGUAUCGCUGUCUGGUAGACUAAAUGCGAGCAGCCCUAUUGAUCCAAUCAGCCACCUUUAUUCACCUGUUUAAGAAGUUUGCAGAAUCCACAUCGAGCACUACUGAACCAGGUUUCUUUACCAAAAAUACAGGUUUUCACGCAAGAAAUAUGUGCUGUCACAGUUCAGUAUAUGUAUUUAAUGUUAGGGUCUCCAUAAUGUAAAUAUCAGAUUUAUUUUCUCAUAACUUUUUGGAGACGUUCAGAUCAAUGCCAUUGUACGACUGACAAAUUUAUGGCUUCCAUAGAUUCUGAUAUUCUGUCUCCCCUUACAAGUUCAUGAGCUACCAUUAAAACCUGAAAGUGUU